AAUGAGGCGAAAUGGGAUGGAAGACAUCGGAAAAUCUCUGCAGUUGGAGCGAGCGUUCGAUCACUGGCCAAUGCCAGUCCCAGUACCAGUGCCAGUGCAACAGGUAGCUCUUAAGAAUUUCCCCUACCCAAUGCGCGGCCGGAGCACUAUUGAAUACGAAAAUUUUGGCGCGCGAGCUUUUAUAGCGCGAAGCGCGUCGUCGCCGACGCUGAGCGCCAAACCGAUAGCCGAGUGGACCCCGAUUGGCGGCCGAGCAGCGAUUCGUGUGGAGGCCGAAGCGAAAAAAACACAUGUGAUUUACGUUGCUACCAAGUGACUGGGACCAGAGCCAGAGCCUGGAGCCGGCGGGCUCCUCAGCCUGCGUCUUCAGGCAGCGUGCAAAUCUUUAAGCAGAAUUGAAGACACAGACGGCAAAGGCGACGACGACGACGACGACGAUGGCAACGACUGUGCGGCAUCGAUUGUGUCGUUCGCAGGUAUAGCAAUUGUACUAUUUCCCAUGCUCGUCGCUACUGCUCAUUUGAAAAUCAUAGAUCACAUACCACGGUGCGGCUAAACAGACGAAGACGAACACAGAGCACAAAAAGGGCAAACUGAGAAAUCAAAAAAAUGUAUGCAAAAAACUCGCACACAAACGCAGAGGAACACUCGCACACAAAUGCAUUGAGUGAUUUUGAUUACGAGGAAAGAAUAGGCGGCACACUAAUACAAGCGUCGAACACUAUGAAAUUGCAGUAACAACGUGAAUGGGAAUGGAACACAACAAUAGCAGCGGGAGCAGCAAGAGCAAAUAAACUUCCAAAAAAAAGAGAUGUGGAAUGAACAACGUGAAGAACUAAAUUGUAAAUCGAAAUUCCAAGAAGUGCGGUCUGAGAUUUGGUCGGAGGUUUGUUUUUUAAACGUCUGACGUCGACGGCGGCAUUAAAAAAGUGUGCAAAAAAGCGUUUGAGAUACUUUUACGCGCGCGCGCGAAAGCUAACGAGUGCGAGGGGUGUACCGGGCUAUGAUUGUGUGUACGUGUCACACAUACAUAUGUAUGUACGUGUGAGUGUGUGGGUCUUUAGUGUGCACGGCGUUUAGGACUUUUGCAUACAAAAGAGGCGGAGAGGAGACGUGCAAUUAGUGUGCAAUAAAACGGACAUAGAAGAAUUUGAUGGAUAGGCUCAAUGAUACCAAUGUUUUCGUAUAACGGAGAUUUUACUGUAUGUUGUGGUCGAGCUCCACAUUGGCAUCCAAAAAGCUAUUGCGAAUUUGAAUUGGAGAUUGACAAAGGUGUUGACAGGCUUUUGGCAUUGAAGUUCCAGGUAUCACAUGUGCUUGACUAGAGGAAUGUGCUUCCAGUUGAGCUGCAAAGACAAGCGAAGAAUAUGGGAGACGCCUGGAAGGGAAAUACGAGAAAUGACAGUGUAUGCCUCAGAGACCAUAACAUGCUGAACCACCCUAGGAAACCCCCAAUCAAAAAUUUCGUUAAAAAAAUGUAUGUAAAUCUUAAACAGGGUAUUCUCAAGUCAAUCACUGCGACCUGAUUCUCGAGUGUAAUUUUUCUUGUAUAUUUCUGGUAUAAAAUUUCGUUAAAAAAAUGUAUGUAAAUCUUAAACAGGGUAUUCUCAAGUCAAUCACUGCGACCUGAUUCUCGAGUGUAAUUUUUCUGGUAUAUUCUGUGCAUUUUAGACGCUGCUCGCGUAAUGAGGAUAAACGAUUCACAAUAAAAAUCAUAAUGUUUUUACACCA